rnacentral:rRNA from 1 species
GAACGCUGAAGGAGGAGCUUGCUUCUCCGGAUGAGUUGCGAACGGGUGAGUAACGCGUAGGUAACCCGCCUGGUAGCGGGGGAUAACUAUUGGAAACGAUAGCUAAUACCGCAUAAGAGUAGAUGUUGCAUGACAUUUGCUUAAAAGGUGCAAUUGCAUCACUACCAGAUGGACCUGCGUUGUAUUAGCUAGUUGGUGGGGUAACGGCUCACCAAGGCGACGAUACAUAGCCGACCUGAGAGGGUGAUCGGCCACACUGGGACUGAGACACGGCCCAGACUCCUACGGGAGGCAGCAGUAGGGAAUCUUCGGCAAUGGACGGAAGUCUGACCGAGCAACGCCGCGUGAGUGAAGAAGGUUUUCGGAUCGUAAAGCUCUGUUGUAAGAGAAGAACGAGUGUGAGAGUGGAAAGUUCACACUGUGACGGUAUCUUACCAGAAAGGGACGGCUAACUACGUGCCAGCAGCCGCGGUAAUACGUAGGUCCCGAGCGUUGUCCGGAUUUAUUGGGCGUAAAGCGAGCGCAGGCGGUUAGAUAAGUCUGAAGUUAAAGGCUGUGGCUUAACCAUAGUACGCUUUGGAAACUGUUUAACUUGAGUGCAAGAGGGGAGAGUGGAAUUCCAUGUGUAGCGGUGAAAUGCGUAGAUAUAUGGAGGAACACCGGU